rnacentral:rRNA from 1 species
CCUACGGGAGACAGCAGUGAGGAAUAGUGGUCAAUGGGCGCGAGCCUGAACCAGCCAAGUAGCGUGAAGGAUGACUGCCCUACGGGUUGUAAACUUCUGUUAUAAAGGAAUAAAGUGAGGCACGUGUGCCUUUUUGUAUGGACUUUAUGAAUAAGGAUCGGCUAACUCCGUGCCAGCAGCCGCGGUAAUACGGAGGAUCCGAGCGUUAUCCGGAUUGAUGGGGGUUAAAGGGAGCGUAGAUGGGUUGUUAAGUCAGUUGUGAAAGUUUGCGGCUCACCCGUAAAAUUGCAAUUGAUACUGGCAGUCUUGAGUUCAGUUGUGCUAGGCGGCAUUCGUGGUGUCGCGG